rnacentral:rRNA from 1 species
AUGAAAAGAGGGGAUUGGAUUCGUCCCCCGGUGGGUUUUGUGAAACUUAAUGUUGACGCUUCUUUUGAUCAUGAUCUUCUUAAAGGUACGGCGGGGGUUGUCCUGAGGAACGACAAAGGGAAGUUUAUUGCAGGGGGUACUUGGAAAAUUGAUCAUUGCAUCGAUGCUCUAACAGCGGAAGCUUGGGCUCUCAGAUUCGGUCUUUCACUAGUGCAACGUGCAGGUUGCAAUCGCCUAGUUAUUAAUUCUGAUAAUUUGGAGGUUAUUGAAACGAUGAAUAACGGCGGACGGUCAGCAGGAGCGGCGACGGCAAUCUUUGAUGAUUGCUAUUUUUUGGCGUGUGAUUUUCCUACCUCUAGGUUUGAACAUUGUAAUAGGGAAGCCAAUAAGGUUGCGCACGAACUUGUUUGA